UACGUAGGGGGCAAGCGUUGUCCGGAUUUAUUGGGCGUAAAGAGCUCGUAGGUGGUUUGGUAAGUCGGAUGUGAAAUCUCCAGGCUCAACCUGGAGGGGUCAUUCGAUACUGCCAUGACUAGAGGUCGGUAGGGGAGUGUGGAAUUCCUGGUGGAGCGGUGAAAUGCGCAGAUAUCAGGAGGAACACCCGUAGCGAAGGCGGCUCUCUGGACCACAACUGACGCUGAGGCGCGAAAGCUAGGGGAGCAAACAGG
rnacentral:rRNA from 1 species